GUAAAAUAUAUAUAUUUCAUUGCAUUUUUUCAAAACAUAUGAAUACAAUAUGUAAAAUUAUUAAAAAAAAUAUAUAAAAUGGAAAAUAAACAUGUAAAAUGUAACAGCUGUCAUAUAAAAUGUACUUCUUCAAAGAAAAUAUAUAUGUGUUUCUAUUACUGGUACCUCUUGGUUUGGCAUCUAACUUGGUCUCAGUCACAUAGCAUAUAAAUCAUACUCCUUUUUUAAAUAUAUAUACAUGUGAAGAUUUUAAUAUUAUGCAUAGUCAAAACAAAAUGAUAAUACGAUACAUACAGUCAGCUUAACAUGAUGGCUAAUUAUUCCAUUGAGUAUGAGCUGUCUGUCAAAUAUUUUCUCUGACAAAUUACAUUUAUUCAACAUGGUGUCAUUGUGUUAUAUAGUUAAACAAAAACAAAAAGAACAGAGUUCAAAUGUCUACCAGGUUGCACAUGUUUUAUCUAUCUAAGGGCAAAAAAAUAAAAAAUCUUUAUUUGUUUUCC
rnacentral:lncRNA from 1 species